rnacentral:rRNA from 1 species
AGUGAACGCUGGCGGUAGGCCUAACACAUGCAAGUCGAACGGCAGCACAGUAAGAGCUUGCUCUUACGGGUGGCGAGUGGCGGACGGGUGAGGAAUACAUCGGAAUCUACUUUUUCGUGGGGGAUAACGUAGGGAAACUUACGCUAAUACCGCAUACGACCUACGGGUGAAAGCAGGGGAUCUUCGGACCUUGCGCGAUUGAAUGAGCCGAUGUCGGAUUAGCUAGUUGGCGGGGUAAAGGCCCACCAAGGCGACGAUCCGUAGCUGGUCUGAGAGGAUGAUCAGCCACACUGGAACUGAGACCCGGUCCAGACCCCACGGGAGGCAGCAGUGGGGAAUAUUGGACAAUGGGCGCAAGCCUGAUCCAGCCAUACCGCGUGGGUGAAGAAGGCCUUCGGGUUGUAAAGCCCUUUUGUUGGGAAAGAAAAGCAGCAGGUUAAUACCCCGCUGUUCUGACGGUACCCAAAGAAUAAGCACCGGCUAACUUCGUG